GAUGAACGCUGGCGGCGUGCCUAAUACAUGCAAGUCGAGCGAACAGACGAGGAGCUUGCUCCUCUGACGUUAGCGGCGGACGGGUGAGUAACACGUGGAUAACCUACCUAUAAGACUGGGAUAACUUCGGGAAACCGGAGCUAAUACCGGAUAAUAUAUUGAACCGCAUGGUUCAAUAGUUAAAGACGGUUUUGCUGUCACUUAUAGAUGGAUCCGCGCCGCAUUAGCUAGUUGGUAAGGUAACGGCUUACCAAGGCAACGAUGCGUAGCCGACCUGAGAGGGUAAUCGGCCACACUGGAACUGAGACACGGUCCAGACUCCUCCGGGAGGCAGCAGUAGGGAAUCUUCCGCAAUGGGCGAAAGCCUGACGGAGCAACGCCGCGUGAGUGAUGAAGGUCUUCGGAUCGUAAAACUCUGUUAUUAGGGAAGAACAAAUGUGUAAGUAACUAUGCACGUCUUGACGGUACCUAAUCAGAAAGCCACGGCUAACUACGUG
rnacentral:rRNA from 1 species